GACGAACGCUGGCGGCGUGCUUAACACAUGCGAGUCGAACGGAAAGGCCCUGCUUGCAGGGUACUCGAGUGGCGAACGGGUGGGUAACACGUGGGUGAUCUGCCCUGCACUUCGGGAUAAGCCUGGGAAACUGGGUCUAAUACCGGAUAGGAGCCAUUUUUAGUGUGAUGGUUGGAAAGUUUUUUCGGUGUAGGAUGAGCUCGCGGCCUAUCAGCUUGUUGGUGGGGUAAUGGCCUACCAAGGCGGCGACGGGUAGCCGGCCUGAGAGGGUGGACGGCCACAUUGGGACUGAGGUACGGCCCAGACUCCUACGGGAGGCAGCAGUGGGGAAUAUUGCACAAUGGGCGCAAGCCUGAUGCAGCGACGCCGCGUGGGGGAUGACGGCCUUCGGGUUGUAAACUCCUUUCGCUAGGGACGAAGCUUUUGUGACGGUACCUAGAUAAGAAGCACCGGCUAACUACGUG
rnacentral:rRNA from 1 species